rnacentral:pre_miRNA from 1 species
AGAAAGACAAACCCUGCGUUUCCGUGUCCAACUUUAACUGUCCGUCUUAUAUGAAAUUUUUUUAUAAUUCGUAUUUUUAUUGUUGUUAGAUGAUAAAACAUGAUUAAUAUUUUAUGCAUGACUUGUCUUUUUAAUUUUUUCAUAAUUUUUUUAAAUAAGACGGACGAUCAAACGUUGGACACGGAAACCAGGGUUUGUCUUUUU